AACCUUAGGUUUGGGGUUUUCGCUUCUAUAGUGGAGUUCUUUAAUCUCUGUAUUUGUGAUUGGCACGAAAUUUUUACAACACUCCCUCCCCAUCCUCUACACACCAACACUGGUAUAUUUUGGAUUCUGUUCUGACUAAGAGUUCACCCUUCUUACCCAAAAAGAACGAAGAGCAGCGCGCCGCCACGGGUCAUACGUUACAGCAAUCACUGUAGGUUAUUAUUCAUUUGAAGACGAGGAGCCGUUGUUAAAAGACGACUGGUAUAACGCUGUAUAACAUUCUCUUUCUAUACACAUGAUGUUACAAGAGAAGAUAACAAUACAACCAUCAUUAGUGUCAACACGUUGAUACCUAGUAAUGCUUCCUGAAAUUAAUCCUGUCUUUAUGAAAUGAUCCCUGGCCUGGCUACAUCUGCAUGAAGAUCUUUACGAUGAAAGUUGGAGUAGUUCUACGCACCUGACUAUUCUGUCUGUCCAGGUUUCUGGUCUGAGUGAAGGUUAUACAGUUAAUGCUGUCAUCGGAAAUUACA